GUGUGUGUAUGUGUGUGUAUGUGUGUGUGAAGGUAAACAAAUGGACCCGGCGGCGGUUCGCGGUAGAAACAUGCACAAUGUGACCGAACCGCGCGGAUUAAAGCGAGUAAAAUGCCCGGAUACAAGAGUAGAUAUAACUUACGUUUCUCUCCCAGUCGCAUCAAAAAGAUCAUGCAGAAGGACACAGAGGUGGGGAGGAUUGCGAUGGCGGUUCCUGUGAUCAUCUGCUGGAAAAGUCUUUGACGCUGCAUUGAGACCAUCGUGGGACAUAAAACACUCCACUGAAACCUGAACGGAUGGAUUUCCUCCAGGUCUUUCAGCUCUCUGAGGCUGUCUGUGUAUUACAUUGCUACUUUGAAAUGAGGCAUUAAUUAAAUAAUUCAACACCCUGCAGGUGAUACAAUGUGUUUCCUGCUGUAGUCCUAAAGGAAGGCCAGUG